AGUGAACGCUGGCGGUAGGCCUAACACAUGCAAGUCGAACGGCAGCACAGUAAGAGCUUGCUCUUACGGGUGGCGAGUGGCGGACGGGUGAGGAAUACAUCGGAAUCUACUUUUUCGUGGGGGAUAACGUAGGGAAACUUACGCUAAUACCGCAUACGACCUACGGGUGAAAGCAGGGGAUCUUCGGACCUUGCGCGAUUGAAUGAGCCGAUGUCGGAUUAGCUAGUUGGCGGGGUAAAGGCCCACCAAGGCGACGAUCCGUAGCUGGUCUGAGAGGAUGGUCAGCCACACUGGGACGGAGACACGGCCCAGACUCCUAGGGGAGGCAGCAGUGGGGAAUAUUGGACAAUGGGCGCAAGCCUGAUCCAGCCAGACCGCGUGGGGGAAGAAGGCCGUCGGGUUGUAAAGCCCGCUUUGUUGGGAAAGAAAAGCAGCAGGUUAAUACCCCGCUGUUCUGACGGUACCCAAAGAAUAAGCACCGGCUAACUUCGUG
rnacentral:rRNA from 1 species